UCUUCAGUUCGCGCCAAGUUGCGCUGGGGAGAGGUGUGCGUGGGAAAGCCAGAGCCCAAGAACUGUGCUGACUGUAAUCUUGUUUUAAACAGGAAUAAAACAACGCAGAGCUGAUUCCAGAGUGAUUCCGGUGU